AUGUAUUUUAAAGUGUUUUAUGUCUUUUUGCAACCAUGUGCUUAAUGGAGUCUUGUGUCUGUCCUGGGAGAUAAUUGAAUUACUUCUCAAUUCAAUCUCCAGGAUAGAAGACUCUGAAACUGGUUUGGGCCAGAAAGCCAUGCUUCAUUUAGUCACAAAGGACUUUCCUUUAACUUUUGAACCCCUGGUCUGAUUCGUGCCAUUUUUUAAUAUGUUGUUGCCCUGAAUGGAUUGAUUAUGAAAAUGUAUGUUUUAUGUUUG